CCCCCACAUUGGUACUGAGACACGGACCAAACUCCUACGGGAGGCAGCAGUGAGGAAUAUUGGUCAAUGGACGCAAGUCUGAACCAGCCAUGCCGCGUGCAGGAAGACGGCUCUAUGAGUUGUAAACUGCUUUUGUACGAGGGUAAACGCUCUUACGUGUAAGAGCCUGAAAGUAUCGUACGAAUAAGGAUCGGCUAACUCCGUGCCAGCAGCCGCGGUAAUACGGAGGAUCCAAGCGUUAUCCGGAUUUAUUGGGUUUAAAGGGUGCGUAGGCGGUUUGAUAAGUUAGAGGUGAAAUACCGGUGCUUAACACCGGAACUGCCUCUAAUACUGUUGAACUAGAGAGUAGUUGCGGUAGGCGGAAUGUAUGGUGUAGCGGUGAAAUGCUUAGAGAUCAUACAGAACACCGAUUGCGAAGGCAGCUUACCAAACUAUAUCUGACGUUGAGGCACGAAAGCGUGGGGAGCAAACAGGAUUAGAUACCCUGGUAGUCCACGCAGUAAACGAUGAUAACUCGCUGUCGGCGAUACACAGUCGGCGGCUAAGCGAAAGCGAUAAGUUAUCCACCUGGGGAGUACGUUCGCAAGAAUGAAACUCAAAGGAAUUGACGGGGGCCCGCACAAGCGGAGGAACAUGUGGUUUAAUUCGAUGAUACGCGAGGAACCUUACCCGGGCUUGAAAGUUACUGACGAUUCUGGAAACAGGAUUUCCCUUCGGGGCAGGAAACUAGGUGCUGCAUGGUUGUCGUCAGCUCGUGCCGUGAGGUGUCGGGUUAAGUCCCAUAACGAGCGCAACCCCUACCGUUAGUUGCCAUCAGGUCAAGCUGGGCACUCUGGCGGGACUGCCGGUGUAAGCCGAGAGGAAGGUGGGGAUGACGUCAAAUCAGCACGGCCCUUACGUCCGGGGCUACACACGUGUUACAAUGGUAGGUACAGAGGGCAGCUACCCAGUGAUGGGAUGCGAAUCUCGAAAGCCUAUCUCAGUUCGGAUCGGAGGCUGAAACCCGCCUCCGUGAAGUUGGAUUCGCUAGUAAUCGCGCAUCAGCCAUGGCGCGGUGAAUACGUUCCCGGGCCUUGUACACACCGCCCGUCAAGCCAUGGAAGCUGGGGGUGCCUGAAGUUCGUGACCGCAAGGAGCGACCUAGGGCAAAACCGGUGACUGGGGCUAAGUCGUAACAAGGUAGCCGUACCGGAAGGUGCGGCUG
rnacentral:rRNA from 1 species